UAACCGGGGGGGUGUGACGCAUUGCGUGUAUUGUUCGACCUUGUUGGAUUGGUUCGGGCAGUGAAGCAGUGCCAGGAAAUAGCACCCCAUAAGACCGUACCCUAAACCGACACAGGUGGGAUGGUAGAGUAUACCAAGGCGCUUGAGAGAAUGAUGUUGAAGGAACUAGGCAAAUUGCACGCGUAACUUCGGGAUAAGCGUGGCCCAAUUGUAGGCAACUAUGGUUGGGCGUCACAAGCCAGGGGGUAGCGACUGUUUAUUUAAAACACAGGGCUCUGCGAAGGCUCCCAAGCCGACGUAUAGGGUCUGACGCCUGCCCGGUGCUGGAAGGUUAAGAUGAGAGGUGAGAGCUUUGAAUCGAGGCCCCAGUAAACGGCGGCCGUAACAAUAACGGUCCUAAGGUAGCGAAAUUCCUUGUCGGGUAAGUUCCGACCCGCAUGAAUGGCGUAACGACUUCCCCACUGUCUCCAGCAUCAACUCAGCGAAAUUGAAUUCUCCGUGAAGAUGCGGAGUACCCGUGGUUAGACGGAAAGACCCCGUGCACCUUUACUGCAAUUUUACAUUGGUAUUAGGCAUAGAUUGUGUAGGAUAGGUGGGAGACGUUGAAGCUUGGUCGCCAGAUCGAGUGGAGUCGCCCUUGAAAUACCACCCUAUCGUUGCUUGAUAUCUAACCAAGCCCAGUUAUCCUGGGUUGGGACCAUGUAUGAUGGGCAGUUUGACUGGGGCGGUCGCCUCCCAAAGCGUAACGGAGGCGCGCGAAGGUAAGCUCAGGACGGUCGGAAAUCGUCCAUUAGAGUGUAAGGGCAUAAGCUUGCCUGACUGUGACAGUGACAGCUGAAACAGAUACGAAAGUAGGUCCUAGUGAUCCGGUGGUUCCAAGUGGAAGGGCCAUCGCUCAACGGAUAAAAGGUACGCCGGGGAUAACAGGCUGAUCUUGCCCAAGAGUCCAUAUCGACGGCAAGGUUUGGCACCUCGAUGUCGGCUCAUCACAUCCUGGGGCUGGAGAAGGUCCCAAGGGUAUGGCUGUUCGCCAUUUAAAGUGGUACGUGAGCUGGGUUUAGAACGUCGUGAGACAGUUCGGUCCCUAUCUGCCAUGGGUGUAGGAAACUUGAGAAGAUCUGACCUUAGUACGAGAGGACCGGGUUGGACGCACCUCUGGUGCACCAGUCGUCAUGCCAAUGGCGCAGCUGGGUAGCUAUGUGCGGAAUGGAUAAACGCUGAAAGCAUCUAAGCGUGAAACCAGCUUUAAAACAAGGUUUCCCUAUGAGAGCCGUGAUAGACCAUCACGUUGAUAGGCCAGGUGUGGAAGCGCAGUAAUGCGUGCAGCUAACUGGCACUAAUUGCUCCAUUGUUUUAUCG
rnacentral:rRNA from 1 species